rnacentral:rRNA from 1 species
GAUGAACGCUGGCGGCGUGCCUAAUACAUGCAAGUCGAGCGAACGGACGAGAAGCUUGCUUCUCUGAUGUUAGCGGCGGACGGGUGAGUAACACGUGGAUAACCUACUUAUAAGACUGGGAUAACUUCGGGAAACCGGAGCUAAUACCGGAUAAUAUUUUGAACCGCAUGGUUCAAAAGUGAACGACGGUCUUGCUGUCACUUAUAGAUGGAUCCGCGCUGCAUUAGCUAGUUGGUAAGGUAACGGCUUACCAAGGCAACGAUGCAUAGCCGACCUGAGAGGGUGAUCGGCCACACUGGAACUGAGACACGGUCCAGACUCCUACGGGAGGCAGCAGUAGGGAAUCUUCCGCAAUGGGCGAAAGCCUGACGGAGCAACGCCGCGUGAGUGAUGAAGGUCUUCGGAUCGUAAAACUCUGUUAUUGGGGAAGAACAUAUGUGUAAGUAACUGUGCACAUCUUGACGGUACCUAAUCAGAAAGCCACGGCUAACUACGUG